GUAGAUGGUUCACAACAGAUUGGAUUUCAACAUUUCUGCUGCUGUAAUCUGAGAAUGUAAUGCUCGGGGAAGCACGUUUGGGACGGUGGAUGGAUAUUUAUGAUCUUCAUGAUAUUUAUGACCUACCCGUACUGCUCUGACGGAGCCACUGCGGCCUGCGGCUGAGCCUCGCCCACCAUGCCCCUGGUGGUGGAUGCUGUGUGGGCGCUGUGGAGCAUCACCGCCGGCAUCUACGACUACUUCCACACUAGUGCCAUGGAGGAGCGGAUCCACACGCUGGAGCAUGUCCUCUCCAUCCACCAGUUUGUGAUUGCAGGCCUGUCAGCAGGCCUCGUCCUGCUUAUGGCCUAUAUACUACUGAGAAAACACUAAACACCUCCUGCUUGAUGGUCAGACUGCUCCUGCUGGAAGUUUGACUGAUGGCCCAGUCCACUGAGUCUCUGUGUUUUCAUUUUUAAUCUUGGUCUGUCUGCUGCUCUAACACAAAACCAUGACUGGUUCUUGAAGGAGGCACUUUAUCCGUUUGACAAGCUUGAAGAUUUUUUAAAUGUUAAUAUAUUCAUUCAUUCAUGUUUUAAAACUCAGCUAACUUAUUUAUUUCGAACAAAAGAUUCAUGGCCACCUCUGGAUCAGCGACGUGCGGUCAGGGGAAAACUCUCCUGUAAUUCUGAAAAGCAAAAUAGAUGCUAAUAAUGAUGAGAAAACAUAAUUUUUUGUAUACAUUUGUUUUUUAUUUGUAAUAUCAAUAACAGCGAUUUUGCAUUUAUGUUUUUUGAUGGUAAAAAUCGCUGAAUUUACACAUUGCCACAUGAAAAAAGCGAGGCAGUGUAGUGCCGUGCCUUACCUCUGGGGGCGCUGUGUUACACACAGCAGUUGGCGCAUGCCCAUUACUGUUCUCUUAGUAUCACUAAUAUAUUUAUAAAAUAACACAUGUUCUGUAUAUGUUGACGUUCCUCAGUCUGUUUAGUAUGUUCAGUAAAUGUGAGCGACACCUUUAGUUUCUCUAAUUGGCUGUAAAUGCGCAGUAAAAGUUCGCAGGGUGAAACAGGAAGUACCGUUCCUUAACGACAGCGGGAAAUCGUUAAGGAAAUUUUCAAUUUUAAUCAGAAAAGGAAGAAGUUAGCCAAAGAAAGCAUUAAAAAUUUUAAAAAUAAAUGUGACCUAAUAUUAAAUAGUUUGUUUUCUUGCUAUUAUAUUGUUGAAUAGUAUGGAAUUGAUUAAAACACAAUUAUAAACUUUAUAAAUGUCAAAUCUGGAAAAAUAAGCUUCUAUUUUGGAUUUGUACAAAAUGAGUCGGUGUCUCAGCAGUUAUGAUCCUAACUGCACGUCACUGUCAGAAAUGGCUUUUAUUUCAAUUCCUACAUCUCAGGCACUGGUUCCAGUUGACCCAGAACUCAUAUCAUGUUUAUUAUUCUUAAUUAUUACCUAUAAACUCCGAAUUAAAAUGCUCUGACAAAAGUAAAAUUGCUUUUUUGUGUCUGUAUUUAUAUUUUGUGUGUUCUAAGGUUUUAUGCAGUUUCCCAUUGCUUGUUUGUGCCAUGUGUUUAAAACGUGUCUUAUUUAAUUAAAUUAGGUUUUAUCUGCUGUAACAGGUCAGUCCCCAUGUUUACUAUCACUGUUCACUCCAACAUGUUUGAGUGAAAACAACUAUAGUCAUGAUAUCGAAGGAAAUGUGACUAAUAAAUGUUAUUGUAAUUCA